rnacentral:rRNA from 1 species
GACGAACGCUGGCGGCGUGCUUAACACAUGCAAGUCGAACGGAAAGGCCCUGCUUUUUUGUGGUGCUCGCGUGGCGAACGUGUGAGUAACCCGUGAGUCACCUUCCCUUUACUUUGGGAUACCUUCAGGAAACUGGUGCUACUACCUGCUACGUGCUCCUGCUGCAUGGUGGUGGUUGGACCUUUUCGGCGGUAGGGGAUGGACUCGCGGCUUAUCAGCUUGUUGGUUGGGUAGUGGCUUACCAAGGCUUUGAAGGGUAGUCGGCCUGAGAGGGUGAACGGCCACAUGAGGACUGAGAUAGGGCGCAGACGCAUACGGGAGGCAGCAGUGGGGAGUAUUACACAAUGGGCGGAAGCCUGAUGCAGAAACGCCGCGUGCGGGAUGAAGGCCAUCGGGUUGGAAACCGCAGUCGCCUGUGACGAAGCGGGAGUGACGGUAAUGGGUAAAGAAGCACCGGCUAACUACGUG